rnacentral:rRNA from 1 species
ACACUCCUGCGGGAGGCAGCAGUGAGGAAUAUUGGACAAUGGGUGGAAGCCUGAUCCAGCCAUCCCGCGUGCAGGAAGACGGCCCUAUGGGUUGUAAACUGCUUUUAUCUGGGGAUAAACCUACUUACGUGUAAGUAGCUGAAGGUACCAGAAGAAUAAGCACCGGCUAACUCCGUGCCAGCAGCCGCGGUAAUACGGAGGGUGCAAGCGUUAUCCGGAUUUAUUGGGUUUAAAGGGUCCGUAGGCGGACUGAUAAGUCAGUGGUGAAAUCCGACAGCUUAACUGUCGAACUGCCAUUGAUACUGUUAGUCUUGAGUAAGGUUGAAGUGGCUGGAAUAAGUAGUGUAGCGGUGAAAUGCAUAGAUAUUACUUAGAACACCAAUUGCGAAGGCAGGUCACUAAGUCUUAACUGACGCUGAUGGACGAAAGCGUGGGGAGCGAACAGGAUUAGAAACCCUGGUAGUCCC